UGUAAGAAAAAAUGCAGUUAAGCACUUUUCAUUCUGUAAUGAUCUUCCGUAGGGGAACCUGCGGAAGGAUCAUUACAGAAUGAAAAGUGCUUAACUGCAUUUUUUCUUACACAUGUGUUUUUCUUUUUUUGAAAACUUUGCUUUGGUAGGCCUUCUAUAUGGGGCCUGCCAGAGAUUAAACUCAACCAAAUUUUAUUUAAUGUCAACCGAUUAUUUAAUAGUCAAAACUUUCAACAACGGAUCUCUUGGUUCUCGCAUCGAUGAAGAACGCAGCGAAAUGCGAUAAGUAAUAUGAAUUGCAGAUAUUCGUGAAUCAUCGAAUCUUUGAACGCACAUUGCGCCCUUUGGUAUUCCAAAGGGCAUGCCUGUUUGAGCGUCAUUUCUCCCUCAAACCCUCGGGUUUGGUGUUGAGCGAUACGCUGGGUUUGCUUGAAAGAAAGGCGGAGUAUAAACUAAUGGAUAGGUUUUUUCCACUCAUUGGUACAAACUCCAAAACUUCUUCCAAAUUCGACCUCAAAUCAGGUAGGACUACCCGCUGAACUUAAGCAUAUCAAUAAGGCGGAGGAAAAAG
rnacentral:rRNA from 1 species